rnacentral:rRNA from 1 species
UACAGAGGGUGCGAGCGUUAAUCGGAAUUACUGGGCGUAAAGCGCACGUAGGCGGCUUGGUAUGUCGGGUGUGAAAUCCCCAGGCUUAACCUGGGAACUGCAUUCGAGACUGCAUUGCUAGAGUAUGGGAGAGGGAAGUGGAAUUUCCGGUGUAGCGGUGAAAUGCGUAGAUAUCGGAAGGAACAUCAGUGGCGAAAGCGACUUCCUGGACCAAUACUGACGCUCAUGUGCGAAAGCGUGGGGAGCAAACAGG